rnacentral:lncRNA from 1 species
UGGUCUAGAUUUCGUGUACACUAAAGAACCAAUUGGGUCUGAAUCAUUUGCAUAUUAAAAAGAUCAUAAAACUCAUCCCAUCUUCGGGUGUGGUUGGAGUAUUUAAAAUCCACGCCUUCCUAGUGAACAUCAGGCUCAAGUUGAGUAUGAAUCACAUUUGAGUUAGGUGUCAAUUGGGUCCUGAUUCCUAUUAAGCAUCAUACUUACCAACUAUAAUUGGCAAGCAAGGUUGCAAUAGCUUGCCCUUGACAUAAAGAGAAUGUAG